CGGACGGGUGAGUAAUGUCUGGGAAACUGCCUGAUGGAGGGGGAUAACUACUGGAAACGGUAGCUAAUACCGCAUAACGUCGCAAGACCAAAGAGGGGGACCUUCGGGCCUCUUGCCAUCAGAUGUGCCCAGAUGGGAUUAGCUAGUAGGUGGGGUAAUGGCUCACCUAGGCGACGAUCCCUAGCUGGUCUGAGAGGAUGACCAGCCACACUGGAACUGAGACACGGUCCAGACUCCUACGGGAGGCAGCAGUGGGGAAUAUUGCACAAUGGGCGCAAGCCUGAUGCAGCCAUGCCGCGUGUGUGAAGAAGGCCUUCGGGUUGUAAAGCACUUUCAGCGAGGAGGAAGGUGGUGAACUUAAUACGUUCAUCAAUUGACGUUACUCGCAGAAGAAGCACCGGCUAACUCCGUGCCAGCAGCCGCGGUAAUACGGAGGGUGCAAGCGUUAAUCGGAAUUACUGGGCGUAAAGCGCACGCAGGCGGUUUGUUAAGUCAGAUGUGAAAUCCCCGGGCUCA
rnacentral:rRNA from 1 species